rnacentral:rRNA from 1 species
CCUUUGUACACACCGCCCGUCGCUACUACCGAUUGAAUGGCUUAGUGAGGUCUCCGGAUUGGCUUUGGCAUACCGGCAACGGUAAGCUAUCGCUGAGAAGCUGAUCAAACUUGGUCAUUUAGAGG